rnacentral:misc_RNA from 1 species
AAGUCGUAACAAGGUUUCCGUAGGUGAACCUGCGGAAGGAUCAUUAACACGUUUUUACGUCUAUCAACCAACUGUGCAUUCUUCGCUGGGCCUUUUGGCUCCGCGAUGUUUUUCACAUUUUUCACCCAAUCUGUCUUUUUUGCAUUUGUUGUGUGGAGCUUUACUGUCUCCGUCUCAAUUGUUUGUCAAUUGUCCAACAACUCUUAGCAAUGGAUAUCUUGGUUCUCGC